ensembl:lncRNA
AAACCUUGAAUCCACGUCCCCAAAGGGGCCCAGAACAAGUAUUUUAUGACCGUAGGGGGUUGAGAUUGCACACGUACUGAUGACCAGGGCAGGAAAGUGCACUGUAGACGAGCAAACGUGGAGCAUGUGCAUUGGGCUAAGGUGCGUGGAACAUACAUCCCGUGGUCCGCGUGGGGCGGACGCUUAACCCCAGAAUGAGGCAAAAUUCAGCCGCUGAGUCAUGAGGUUAUCUUAGGACGGAGAAGGAGAACCGGUGUUGGGCGCGCUCCCAGAACUAGUAUCAACUGGAUGGGGUCUCGGGCUGCUUAUCUCGGGUAAGGAAUGUUCCUAAGCUGCGUCCCUAUCAGUUGACCUCGAAUCCAGGCUUCUGCACAGACGGCCCGUGGGUUGGUUAGUGGGGCCCCAGAGAGACACGAUAGCUGAUGCAGGAGACGCAAUUCUUUGAAAGACAGGUUUUAAACCUUCUGGCUCGUUUCGACCUCGUCAACCCUGUGGGGGCACGGUUUUAUGCCUUCUUAGUCACGGAUCUGUGGUGCCUGACGGCAGAGGCCCAGCGGGGAAAGGGAACAUGUUGGCAGUGCACGUUGUGAAUCAUUCUGUGCCUCUUAGAAGUCACUGCCCAGCAGAGCUUUCCAGAGGAGGGAGAGGUGUCAUCGUUUUUGCUUUUCCCACAAACAGACCCUAAACCGAGCUUGCAUGUGGAAGGAGAUGGGAUGACUUGAAGGAGCUGAGAUGUGCUCCUCCUGGAUGAGGAUGAGGUGCUUUCCUGAACCUUUUCUCCUCUUGCUGCAUCGAGCCUGCAAACAUCACCGGCCACUUGUUUGCCUGCAGGGAUGGCCUAGGAGCCUGCUUACUGUGAAUAUGCAAUCAGCGCCCGCCCGCGGGGAGCUUUGCAGGGAGGCUGGCCGAGGGCUCUCAGAAGCUGCGUGGGGGAGACCUGCUCCUGACUCUGUCUUCGGCCUGUGACCCCGAGUUGGGAUCUAUGGAAUUUUACUGGCCGCGUUCCUGAGAAGAAUGCUUCGUGUUUCAGGGUCACCUGCCCAUGGCUAUCUGAGCCACCCGAAGGAAAACGUGGGUGAGGGACACGUGGUCAAUAAGAACGUCGCAUCGUGUUCCUGGUGGGAUCUGCGGUGGAGAUAUCGGAACCACGUUUUCAAGGGAAGGUCAUACUUAGCGGCAACAAUGUGCUUUUUAGUGCUUCGUUCUUAACACAUUCGAAGGGGGCCUGUCCGCUCCUCGGCCCACGGGAGAUGCCAGCUUGGUCACGUGCAAGAAACAUGACCUGCUCAGGUGAGCGCUCUGAGGGCCCAGGACACCACGGGGAGCCAGCGGCGAGGUGCAGUUGGAUAAUAUAAACCUAUGAAAUUCCAUAUUUUCUCACUGAUACUACCAGCGUCUAUGAAGCCAACCACGUCAAAGUGCCUCCAACCCUAGCAGACGUCCUUCCUCCGUGGACUCGUAGAAGGUAGCAGCCCACCCUCCCCUUUCCCCCCAGCUUAUGGAAACAAUUUACGAAGAUAAAUCUCUACAGGAUGACUGCGUUAAAUAUUUAAUUAGUUCUCCGAACAAACAGGAGAAUCUACGACUCCAAAGGAAAAUAAAAAGGGAAAGCAGAUUCUUCA